UAGCCUAGUGGUUAAGGCUAUGGAUCGCCAAUCCGGAGACAACGGGUUCGAUUCCCGU
rfam:Aedes albopictus isolate Foshan contig16319, whole genome shotgun sequence.